rnacentral:rRNA from 1 species
CAGCCGCCGCGGUAAUACGUAGGGUGCGAGCGUUAAUCGGAAUUACUGGGCGUAAAGCGUGCGCAGGCGGUUGUGUAAGACAGGUGUGAAAUCCCCGGGCUUAACCUGGGAACUGCGCUUGUGACUGCACAGCUAGAGUAUGGCAGAGGGGGGUGGGAUUCCACGUGUAGCAGUGAAAUGCGUAGAGAUGUGGAGGAACACCGAUGGCGAAGGCAGCCCCCUGGGCCAAUACUGACGCUCAUGCACGAAAGCGUGGGGAGCAAACAGGAUUAGAUACCCCUGUAGUCCCUGUCUCUUAUAC